GACGAACGCUGGCGGCGUGCCUAAUACAUGCAAGUAGAACGCUGAAGGAGGAGCUUGCUUCUCUGGAUGAGUUGCGAACGGGUGAGUAACGCGUAGGUAACCUGCCUGGUAGCGGGGGAUAACUAUUGGAAACGAUAGCUAAUACCGCAUAACAGUAGAUGUUGCAUGACAUUUGCUUAAAAGGUGCAAUUGCAUCACUACCAGAUGGACCUGCGUUGUAUUAGCUAGUUGGUGGGGUAACGGCUCACCAAGGCGACGAUACAUAGCCGACCUGAGAGGGUGAUCGGCCACACUGGGACUGAGACACGGCCCAGACUCCUACGGGAGGCAGCAGUAGGGAAUCUUCGGCAAUGGACGGAAGUCUGACCGAGCAACGCCGCGUGAGUGAAGAAGGUUUUCGGAUCGUAAAGCUCUGUUGUAAGAGAAGAACGAGUGUGAGAGUGGAAAGUUCAC
rnacentral:rRNA from 1 species